rfam:Bacillus endophyticus strain Hbe603, complete genome.
UCUGGUAACCAUAGCCAAGAGGUCACACCUGUUCCCAUGCCGAACACAGAAGUUAAGCUCUUGAGCGCCGAUGGUAGUUGGGACUUUGUCCCUGUGAGAGUAGGACGUUGCCAGGC